rnacentral:rRNA from 1 species
AUCGAACGCUGGCGGCAGGCCUAACACAUGCAAGUCGAACGAGUGGCGGACGGGUGAGCAAUGUCUUGGCACCUGCCUGAUCGAGGCGGCUAACUCCGGUAAACGUUAGCUAAUACUGCAUACCCCCCGAUGUGCCCAGUUGGGAUUAGCUAGUCGGUGGGGUAAAGGCUCACCUAGGCGACGAUCCCUAGCUGGUCUGAGAGGAUGAGCGGCCACACUGGAACUGAGACACGGCCCAGACUCCUACGGGAGGCAGCAGUGGGGAAUAUUGGGCAAUGGGCGAAAGCCUGAUGGAGCAAUGCCGCGUGUAUGAAGAAGGCCUUCGGAUUGUAAAGUACUGUCAGCGGGGAGGCGUUACCCGAAGAGGAAGCAACGGCUAACUACGUGCCAGCAGCCGCGGUAAUAC